rnacentral:rRNA from 1 species
CCUACGGGCGGCAGCAGUGAGGAAUAUUGGUCAAUGGACGAGAGUCUGAACCAGCCAAGUAGCGUGAAGGAUGACUGCCCUAUGGGUUGUAAACUUCUUUUAUAUGGGAAUAAAACGUUCCACGUGUGGGAUUUUGUAUGUACCAUAUGAAUAAGGCUCGGCUAACUCCGUGCCAGCAGCCGCGGUAAUACGGAGGAUCCGAGCGUUAUCCGGAUUUAUUGGGUUUAAGGGGAGCGUAGGUGGAUUGUUAAGUCAGUUGUGAAAGUUUGCGGCUCAACCGUAAAAUUGCAGUUGAAACUGGCAGUCUUGAGUACAGUAGAGGUGGGCGGAAUUCGUGGUGUAGCGGUGAAAUGCUUAGAUAUCACGAAGAACUCCGAUUGCGAAGGCAGUUCACUGGACUGCAACUGACACUGAGGCUCGAAAGUGUGGGUAUCAAACAGGAUUAGAUACCCCAGUAGUC